rnacentral:piRNA from 1 species
GGGAAAUUUCCUCUUCAGAAAGCAGUGU